rnacentral:sRNA from 1 species
GCCGAGCACGGUGGUGCAUGCCUGUAAUCCCAGUGGCUGGGGAGGCUGAGGCAGGAGGAUGGCAAGUUCAAAGCCAGCCUCAG